GGUCUGACCUGCCCUAUGAUAUAAUUUUAUUAAAUGGCCGCGAUAAUUUGAUCGUGCAAAGGUAGCAUAAUCAUUAGUUUUUUAAUUGGGAACUGGAAUGAAAGGUCGAACGAGAAAAAGACUGUCUCAAUUUAAAUUUAAUUAGAAUUUUAUUUUUAAGUUAAAAAGCUUAAAUAAUUUUAAAAGACGAGAAGACCCUAUAGAGUUUUAUAUUUAAUAUUUUUAGAAAAAAUUUAAGAAUUAUUUUUUUUUUGUUUGUAUUAAGUAUUUGGUUGGGGGGAUUAAAAAAUUGAAUAAACUUUUUUUAUUUUAAACCAUUGAUUUAUGAAUAAGUGAUCCAUUUAUUAUGAUUAAAAGAUUAAAUUACCUUAGGGAUAACAGCGUUAUUUUUUUUAAGAGUUCUUAUCGAAAAAAAAGUUUGCGACCUCGAUUUGGAUUAAAACUAUC
rnacentral:rRNA from 1 species